CCCAAAUGACUAGUCCCUACUGUUCUUCUUUCUUGGAACAAAUAUGUAAUAACUGGUCUAAGAUAGAAGGAAAGGGAUUACAAGAAAGAAAGGAAGGAAGGAAGGAAGGAAGGAAGGAAGGAAGGAAGGAAGGAAGGAAGGAAGGAAGGAAGGAAGGAAGGAAGGAAGGAAGGAAGGAAGGAAGGAAGGAAGGAAGGAAGAGAGGGAGGAAGAGGAG
rnacentral:lncRNA from 1 species